CGUAGGGGGCGAGCGUUGUUCGGAUUCAUUGGGCGUAAAGGGUGCGUAGGCGGCGCGGUAAGUCGGGUGUGAAAUCUCGGGGCUUAACUCCGAAACUGCAUUCGAUACUGCCGUGCUUGAGGACUGGAGAGGAGACUGGAAUUUACGGUGUAGCGGUGAAAUGCGUAGAUAUCGUAAGGAAGACCAGUGGCGAAGGCGGGUCUCUGGACAGUUCCUGACGCUGAGGCACGAAGGUCAGGGGAGCAAACGGG
rnacentral:rRNA from 1 species